CUCUAUACGUGUGAGUUCCUCUAGCAGGCGCUCUUUGUCCUGAUUGCCCUUCCUUAUUAGUAACCUUCCCAAUUUGUCCUGGUACAUCCCUGUCUGUUGAAAGACCCAAUCUUGGUGAAACAAUAUAGAGACUCCUUUGGAUUUGUGUGGUGAGAGCGCAUGGAAAAUUUGAGGGUAACAGGUUGGUUUGAAGGCCGGAGGGUGUUGUGUACAUAGGUGAGUUUCCUGUAAGCAGACUAUUGCUGCUUUAGAAUUGUG